GACGAACGCUGGCGGCGUGCUUAACACAUGCAAGUCGAACGGAAAGGCCCUGCUUUUGUGGGGUGCUCGAGUGGCGAACGGGUGCGUAACACGUGAGUAACCUGCCCUUGACUUUGGGAUAACUUCAGGAAACUGGGGCUAAUACCGGAUAGGAGCUCCUGCUGCAUGGUGGGGGUUGGAAAGUUUCGGCGGUUGGGGAUGGACUCGCGGCUUAUCAGCUUGUUGGUGGGGUAGUGGCUUACUAAGGCUUUGACGGGUAGCCGGCCUGAGAGGGUGACCGGCCACAGUGGGACUGAGAUACGGCCCAGACGCCUACGGGAGGCAGCAGUGGGGGAUAGUGCACGAUGGGCGGAAGCCUGAUGCAGCAACGCCGCGUGCGGGAUGACGGCCUUCGGGUUGUAAACCGCUUUCGCCUGUGACGAAGCGUGAGUGACGGUAAUGGGUAAAGAAGCACCGGCUAACUACGUG
rnacentral:rRNA from 1 species